rnacentral:rRNA from 1 species
CCUACUGGCGGCAGCAGUAGGGAAUCUUCCACCAUGGACGAAAGUCUGAUGGAGCAACGCCGCGUGUGUGAAGAAGGGUUUCGGCUCGUAAAGCACUUUUGGUAGUGAAGCAAGUUAGAGGUUGUAACUGCCCUUUAUUUGACGUUACUGACUUAGAAAGUCACGGCUAACUACGUGCCAGCAGCCGCGGUAAUACGUAGGUGGCAAGCGUUGUCCGGAAUUAUUGGGCGUAAAGCGAGUGCAGGCGGUUCAAUAAGUCUGAUGUGAAAGCCUUCGGCUCAACCGGAGAAUUGCAUCAGAAACUGGUGAACUUGAGUGCAGAAGAGGAGAGUAGAACUCCAUGUGUAGCGGUGGAAUGCGUAGAUAUAUGGAAGAACACCAGUGGCGAAGGCGGCUCUCUGGUCUGCAACUGACGCUGAGGCUCGAAAGCAUGGGUAGCGAACAGGAUUAGAUACCCGAGUAGUC